rnacentral:rRNA from 1 species
UUCUCAGGUUGACCUCGGAUCAGGUAGGGAUACCCGCUGAACUUAAGCAUAUCAAUAAGCGGAGGA